rnacentral:rRNA from 1 species
UAGGGAAUCUUCGGCAAUGGACGCAAGUCUGACCGAGCAACGCCGCGUGAGUGAAGAAGGUUUUCGGAUCGUAAAACUCUGUUGUUAGAGAAGAACAAGGACGUUAGUAACUGAACGUCCCCUGACGGUAUCUAACCAGAAAGCCACGGCUAACUACGUGCCAGCAGCCGCGGUAAUACGUAGGUGGCAAGCGUUGUCCGGAUUUAUUGGGCGUAAAGCGAGCGCAGGCGGUUUCUUAAGUCUGAUGUGAAAGCCCCCGGCUCAACCGGGGAGGGUCAUUAGAAACUGGUGGACUUGAGUGCAGAAGAGGUGAGUGGAAUUCCAUGUGUAGCGGUGAAAUGCGUAGAUAUAUGGAGGAACACCAGUGGCGAAGGCGGCUCUCUGGUCUGUAACUGACGCUGAGGCUCGAAAGCGUGGGGAGCAAACAGG